UACGUAGGUGGCAAGCGUUGUUCGGAAUUAUUGGGCGUAAAGCGCGUGUAGGCGGCGUGGCAAGUCGGGUGUGAAAGCCCUCAGCUCAACUGAGGAAGUGCGCCCGAAACUGCUGUGCUUGAGUGCCGGAGAGGGUGGCGGAAUUCCCCAAGUAGAGGUGAAAUUCGUAGAUAUGGGGAGGAACACCGGUGGCGAAGGCGGCCACCUGGACGGUAACUGACGCUGAGACGCGAAAGCGUGGGGAGCAAACAGG
rnacentral:rRNA from 1 species